AGACUCAAAACACAAUGCUAGACAAGUGUUUCUUUAUCCUUGACAUCUUGAACAAGAUGAGAGACCAUGCCAUCAAACGAGCCGCUUGCAUAGUUUAGCGAAACCAACUAUUGUAACGUAAUUGUUAUAUUUUAAAGUCACAACUCACAACAAUUUCUUUUUUGUCAUUGUUUCGUAGAAAUUCGUGACAUACAUUUAGUCCUUCAAUCGUCAUAAACUGGCCACACAAGAUUCAGUCACAUAUUCGUCAUCUAUCCUAUACUAAAAGGGGGAUAUCCUCCCUUCUCAGCCCCUCCACGUAGGACUAAAAAAUCUACCAAUGAAGAACAUAUUUUUUGACACGUCAUAUCAGUCUAAAAAUGAAUAACAAUAAACUUCUCCGUGUGGGUUUACAAUAUUAAAGAUUGGCCCAGAUCGAGCCCACAUCUCAAAAUUCUAAAUUCCUAAUGAAGCGUUGAUUGUUUCUUCCAUAGAGACUCCGUCUUCUCCGUUUCCUAUAGCAGGCAAUAAAUCUCCAUUACUCUCUUCAACAAUCAAUUAUGUUCUUCACUCCCUCUUAAUGAAUUCGUCUCACCUCCCUUUCUUUCUCCUCCUUUAUAAACUUACUUCCAAAUAAACCUGAAGAUCCCCUGAACUGAAGUAAUGGCGAUGUAAGCCUAACAGUUCCAAAGCUAAAGCGCAUGAAUCGUAUCCUCCUCCAGGUAUUACCAAUCUGCGCCUUACGAAGGUGCCUGUCAGGGUACUUCUCAGCCUCAGCCUACACAACAAAAUACAAUCACUUCCUGCUAUCAUGAUCAUCACUAUUAGUACAACGCUAACUCUGAUUCAUUAAAGAGGAGAUUCAGUGGAAGAUAAGAUCAAAAGGAACAAGACCAAGAAUAUAUCACUCCAUCAAUAUGUUGUUCUCUAGGAAUACAAAGAACUGAUCAAAAAGGCAAGUCAUGGUCCUUCUCUACAGUCUGUCAAGCUAUGAAGGUUCUGAAACCGAAGGAAAUGUGAGAAUCAUUUUACAUCUUUCCUUUAUUAAAUAAUCUCAUGGAAGAACUUUCCUUUUGUAUGUAUAGUUGGAAUUUUUAGAAUGAUUGAAUCUCAACUUCAGGGUUAACGUAAGCUCAUCAUCGUCCUUUUUC